AACGCACGAGACCUGCGGACCUGCGGAGGGAUCAUUAACAAGAAGCGUAGCCCGCCGGUUGCGAAAGCAUCCCGGUCGGGUCCUAUGUCUCACACCCUCCGCGUACCCAUACCUUUUGUUGCUUCCCGUCGCGUCCACCGCGGCGAGGCGGGGAGGUCCCCUUUAACUCCGGUUUUCCAUGCCGUCGGUCUGAAGUGGCCCGGUCCACGUAAAACAUUUUAACGCUCAAAACUUUUAACA
rnacentral:misc_RNA from 1 species